rnacentral:rRNA from 1 species
CCUACGGGGGGCAGCAGUGAGGAAUAUUGGUCAAUGGCCGGAAGGCUGAACCAGCCAUGCCGCGUGAAGGUCAGUGCCCUAUGGGCGUUAAACUUCUUUUGUGCGGGAGCAAUACUGGUCACGUGUGGCCAGACGAGAGUACCGUACGAAUAAGCAUCGGCUAACUCCGUGCCAGCAGCCGCGGUAAUACGGGGGAUGCAAGCGUUAUCCGGAUUUAUUGGGUUUAAAGGGUGCGUAGGCUGUGAGGUAAGUCAGCGGUGAAAUGCCCCCGCUCAACGGGGUGAAGUGCCAUUGAUACUGCCUGGCUGGAAUGCGGAUGCCGUGGGAGGAAUGUGUGGUGUAGCGGUGAAAUGCAUAGAUAUUACACAGAACACCGAUUGCGAAGGCAUCUCACGAAGCCGCGAUUGACGCUGAUGCACGAAAGCGUGGGUAUCAAACAGGAUUAGAUACCCCUGUAGUC